rnacentral:tRNA from 1 species
UGUAGCUCAUUGACAUAGCGCCUGCCUGGCAAGCAGGAAAUCCUGAGUUCGAACCUCAGUA